rnacentral:misc_RNA from 1 species
GUCUCUCAAUUCGUGCUUUUGUUUCAUACAGUGAUGGUGUCGAGAUGAAGGUAUAAAUGAUGUAAAGUGGGAAGCCACGAAAAAGGAGAUAAAGAAUCUAUUCUCUUCAUAUAAGAUGCCAUUUGGCGAAAAAAUAGCUUGCACUUGGCAAUGUUGUGUUAAUCUAUUUUUCAGUUUCAUGUAUAGAUUACAUAGAUCGGUAAAA